rnacentral:lncRNA from 1 species
CUUUCCAGUUUUUGAGUCAACAAUCUUGAUCUUUAUUUUCGUUGGAUGAUUGUCCAAAAGGUUGAUCAAAACUUUAACUCUUGCUGUCCUUGGUCGCGUUCGAUCUUUAGUAGCUUUGUCGACUGCAAUAGGAUUUCCUACUGCUGAAGCAAUGGACAAUAAAGAUUUUUUGGCAAACAGAUUUGCAGGCAGAUCCGGAAAAGAAAUCCAUACCACAGCUUUCGACGUUUCCUCUCGCGGAUUAAAUCCCAUUGUCCAUGGGAAUGUCAUAAAGAAGAACUCCCUUCCUUUAGCCCGUAGACAUCCAUUUGUUCUUGACACUACC